GAUGAACGCUGGCGGCGUGCUUAACACAUGCAAGUCGAACGGUGAAGGCGGAGCUUGCUCUGCUGGAUCAGUGGCGAACGGGUGAGUAACACGUGAGCAAUCUGCCCCUGACUCUGGGAUAAGCGCUGGAAACGGCGUCUAAUACUGGAUACGAGCUGCGAAGGCAUCUUCAGCAGCUGGAAAGAAUUUCGGUCAGGGAUGAGCUCGCGGCCUAUCAGCUUGUUGGUGAGGUAAUGGCUCACCAAGGCGUCGACGGGUAGCCGGCCUGAGAGGGUGACCGGCCACACUGGGACUGAGACACGGCCCAGACUCCUACGGGAGGCAGCAGUGGGGAAUAUUGCACAAUGGGCGAAAGCCUGAUGCAGCAACGCCGCGUGAGGGACGACGGCCUUCGGGUUGUAAACCUCUUUUAGCAGGGAAGAAGCGAAAGUGACAGUACCUGCAGAAAAAGCGCCGGCUAACUACGUG
rnacentral:rRNA from 1 species